GAUGAACGCUGGCGGCGUGCCUAAUACAUGCAAGUCGAGCGAACAGACGAGGAGCUUGCUCCUCUGACGUUAGCGGCGGACGGGUGAGUAACACGUGGAUAACCUACCUAUAAGACUGGGAUAACUUCGGGAAACCGGAGCUAAUACCGGAUAAUAUAUUGAACCGCAUGGUUCAAUAGUGAAAGACGGUUUUGCUGUCACUUAUAGAUGGAUCCGCGCCGCAUUAGCUAGUUGGUAAGGUAACGGCUUACCAAGGCGACGAUGCGUAGCCGACCUGAGAGGGUGAUCGGCCACACGGGAACUGAGACACGGUCCAGACUCCUACGGGAGGCAGCAGUAGGGAAUCUUCCGCAAUGGGCGAAAGCCUGACGGAGCAACGCCGCGUGAGUGAUGAAGGUCUUCGGAUCGUAAAACUCUGUUAUUAGGGAAGAACAAAUGUGUAAGUAACUAUGCACGUCUUGACGGUACCUAAUCAGAAAGCCACGGCUAACUACGU
rnacentral:rRNA from 1 species